CAACCGUGAAAAAAAUAAGUGAUGACAUAUUGACACCGUUUGAGAAACACCACCGUCUCUUUCUACGGUUGUUUAGUCCCUAAAUUGAUAAUGGAAAAGCCCACCAUGGAGAGACAUCAAUAUACCUGUUGAUUCUUUCUUCUCUCUUCCAUGAGAAAAGAUGGAUUUUUGACAGAUUAAAGAAGUCCUCACAUGGUGAAAGAAGCUCAUGAUAAGAAUAUCAAAAAUUGCGGGAUCUAUUAUCAUAUGACAAUGCCUUAGAAAGCAGCAUUGUUGUUGCAACAACACCUCAACUGUAGAGAGGCAACAGAAAAUCAUCUUCUUGCAAACACAAAUCAUGUCAACUCCAUCUCAAAUGCAGGGUGGUUGGAACAUUGUCCUUAUUGCUUGCUCAAUCUCCCAAGCUACACAAAUACUGGUCUUACACUUGCUCACCGUGUUUAUUGUAGUUGGAUGGUGGACAACGGGAUCGAUCUCUCAUUCGUGAUACUUAUCCGUUCAAAGUGUGAGGAAGAUCGAUGGAGUUGAAUGCGACCACUCUAAGAAAAGAUUUAGUACUUUAAUUUGUCCGUGAUUGUUUUGAGUAUUAUUUAGCUUAUGCAAACUCCUUUCGCUCUCCGUUGUAUCUGUGUUGAUUCGCGA